UUCCCCUUCGGGGGCAAAGUGACAGGUGGUGCAUGGUUGUCGUCAGCUCGUGUCGUGAGAUGUUGGGUUAAGUCCCGCAACGAGCGCAACCCUUAUUGUUAGUUGCCAUCAUUUAGUUGGGCACUCUAGCGAGACUGCCGGUGACAAACCGGAGGAAGGUGGGGAUGACGUCAAAUCAUCAUGCCCCUUAUGACCUGGGCUACACACGUGCUACAAUGGGAAGUACAACGAGUUGCGAAGUCGCGAGGCUAAGCUAAUCUCUUAAAGCUUCUCUCAGUUCGGAUUGUAGGCUGCAACUCGCCUACAUGAAGCCGGAAUCGCUAGUAAUCGCGGAUCAGCACGCCGCGGUGAAUACGUUCCCGGGCCUUGUACACACCGCCCGUCACACCACGAGAGUUUGUAACACCCGAAGUCGGUGAGGUAACCUUUUUGGAGCCAGCCGCCUAAGGUGGGAUAGAUGAUUGGGGUGAAGUCGUAACAAGGUAGCCGUAUCGGAAGGUGCGGCUGGAUCACCUCCUUUCUAAGGAA
rnacentral:rRNA from 1 species